AGAAUCAACGCUGGCGGCGUGCCUAACACAUGCAAGUCGAACGCGAAAGUCCCGCAAGGGAUCGUAGAGUGGCAAACGGGUGAGUAACACGUGGGUGACCUGCCUUCGAGUGGGGGAUAACGUCCCGAAAGGGACGCUAAUACCGCAUAACAUGCCGCCUUUUAAGAGGUGGACAUCAAAGCUGGGGAUCGCAAGACCUAGCGCUGGAAGAGGGGCCCGCGUCCGAUUAGCUAGUUGGUGGGGUAAUGGCUCACCAAGGCAACGAUCGGUA
rnacentral:rRNA from 1 species